rnacentral:rRNA from 1 species
GGUGAACGCUGGCGGCGUGCCUAAUACAUGCAAGUCGAGCGAACGGACGAGAAUCUUGCUUCUCUGAUGUUAGCGGCGGACGGGUGAGUAACACGUGGAUAACCUACCUAUAAGACUGGGAUAACUUCGGGAAACCGUAGCUAAUACCGGAUAAUAUUUUGAACCGCAUGGUUCAAAAGUGAAAGACGGUCUUGCUGUCACUUAUAGAUGGAUCCGCGCUGCAUUAGCUAGUUGGUAAGGUAACGGCUUACCAAGGCAACGAUGCAUAGCCGACCUGAGAGGGUGAUCGGCCACACUGGAACUGAGACACGGUCCAGACUCCUACGGGAGGCAGCAGUAGGGAAUCUUCCGCAAUGGGCGAAAGCCUGACGGAGCAACGCCGCGUGAGUGAUGAAGGUCUUCGGAUCGUAAAACUCUGUUAUUAGGGAAGAACAUAUGUGUAAGUAACUGUGCACAUCUUGACGGUACCUAAUCAGAAAGCCACGGCUAACUACGUG